GCGGAGCGUCCGUGAGGGGCUGCCGGCAUGUCGGCACCGCGCUGCCCGCAGUGCGCCCAGCCCUGCGCGUCGCCGCGGCUGCUGCCCUGCCUGCACUCGCUGUGCGAGCCCUGCCUGCGCCGGCUCGGGCCGCCGGAGGGGCCGCCGGGCGCCGCCCGCCCGGUCCUGUGCCCGGUGUGCGACGCCGAGCUGUCGCUGCCGGCCGGCGGCGUGGGGCAGCUGCCCCCCGACUGCCUGGCUGGGAGCCGCGGCCGGGCCGCGGCCGGGUGCGACCUCUGCGCCGACGGGGCGGCGGCCGGGCGGUGCCUGACCUGCGGCCUCCGCCUCUGCCGCUUCUGCUGCAGGGCGCACAGGAGACAGAAGAAAACAGCCUCCCAUGCUGUGACAGAGCUGGAGAACACCAAGGAUUGCAGCCAGGCCGGGAAGCCUCUCCUGUGCCCCUCCCAUCCCACAGAGGAGCUGCAGCUGUUCUGCGAGCAGUGUGACCAGCCCGUGUGCCGGGACUGCGUUCUGGGCAGACACCGUCAGCACCCCUGUGACUUCACCGGCAAUGUCAUCCACAGGCACGGGGAUGCCCUGCGGGAGCUGCUGAAGAACAGCCAGCAGCACAUGGACACCCUGGAGGAUGUGCUGAGCCAGGUCGAUGAGAUGGGCAGUGCUGUCCGCAGUCGCGCAGAGGCUGUGGCCACAGAGAUCUGCCUGUUUGCCAGGGGCUACGUGAAAGCAAUUGAAGAGCACAGGGACCGGCUGCUGAAGCAGCUGGAGGACUUGAAGGUGCAGAAGGAAAACCUGCUGCACUUGCAGAAGGCCCAGCUGCAGCAGCUGCUGCUGGACAUGAGGACAGGUGUGGAGUUCACGGAGCACUUGCUGAUGAGCGGCUCAGAUGUGGAGAUCCUCAUCACCAAAGGGGUGGUGUCCAGCCGUCUGACAAAGCUCAACAGCGUUGCUUACAGCACCCACCCCAGUGUGGAUGACAGGAUCCAGUUCUCCCCCCACGAGAGGGCAGGGCAGUGUUGUGGCUAUGAAGUUUUUGGGGCCAUUCUCAAUAAAGUGGUCGAUCCAGCCAGAUGUACUCUUCAUGGGGAAGAUCUCCACAGUGCCCGUCAGAACCAGCUGAGUGGCUUUACCCUGCUGUGCAAGGACACUACAGGGGAGCGCAUGGGGCGGGGCGGAGAGGCUGUGCGGGUCACCAUCGCCCACAAGGACAAGAGGGACUGCACUCUGUUCACCAGGAUUCCCUGUGAAACACAAAGAUCUUCACUGCGAAAAGGGAGAGUUUACCACCAGGGACCUAGAACACCUCAGCACUGAAGGAAAAAGUUGGGGUCCGUGCAGCUGGGACAGUGGUUAAAGUGAUUCAAGCCGACCCUAUUAUAGCUUGUCUUCUUAAUGGGUUUUUCUGGAGGUAACUGCUUGCUGAAGCUGUGAAUUUACUCCCUUUCUGUGGGCUCUUAUCUGAUGGGAUAAUCUGACUUGUGUGCUGUGUGUCAUCUGCCUUUUCUGUGUGCAGGUUGCUACAAAUCCUUGCAGUGCAACUGGCUUUGUGUGACUUCCUUUGUAUGGUAAUUGCAGCUUCCAGUAGCAGGGGUGUGUGAAAACCACUCUAAGCCAAUCUAGGCCAAACUCUGGUUUACAUUUAACGCAAUUUUUUGCCAGUUACUGACCUCUUGGGUUUCUCUCCACUGUUCACAGUGCAGUCAAGCCAACAGUGUGUGAUAAUGGUGAUGGGACCUACUGUAUUUCCUACAACCCUGAAGAGCCAGGCUUGUAUGCUGUCUGCGUCUAUGUGAAAGGGCAACAUGUGCAGGGCUCUCCCUUCACUCUGAUGGUG